rnacentral:rRNA from 1 species
UAUCCGCCAGGGUACUACGAGCAUAGCUUAAAACCCAAAGGACUUGGCGGUGUCUCAGACCCACCUAGAGGAGCCUGUUCUAGAACCGAUAACCCCCGUUAAACCUCACCACUUCUUGUUAAUCCCGCCUAUAUACCGCCGUCGCCAGCUUACCCUAUGAAGGUAAAAUAGUAGGCAAAAUGGACAAGCCCCAAAACGUCAGGUCGAGGUGUAGCGCACGAAGUGGGAAGAAAUGGGCUACAUUUUCUAUUACAGAAAAUCACGAAUGGUUUACUGAAACACAUACCUGAAGGAGGAUUUAGUAGUAAAAAGCAAAUAGAG